UACGUAGGGGGCAAGCGUUAUCCGGAAUCACUGGGCGUAAAGGGUGCGUAGGUGGUUCCUCAAGUCAGAAGUGAAAGGCAGUGGCUUAACUACUGUAAGCUUUUGAAACUGAGGAACUUGAGUGCAGGAGAGGUAAGUGGAAUUCCUAGUGUAGCGGUGAAAUGCGUAGAUAUUAGGAGGAACACCAGUGGCGAAGGCGACUUACUGGACUGUAACUGACACUGAGGCACGAAAGCGUGGGGAGC
rnacentral:rRNA from 1 species